rnacentral:rRNA from 1 species
UGGGGAAUAUUGGUCAAUGGGCGCAAGCCUGAACCAGCGAUGCCGCGUGAGUGAUGAAGGCCUUCGGGUUGUAAAGCUCUGUGGGGAGAGAAGAAAACGUUUAGGGCGAAUAGGCCUAGACCUUGACGGUAUCUCUUUAGCAAGCACCGGCUAACUCUGUGCCAGCAGCCGCGGUAAGACAGAGGGUGCAAACGUUGCUCGGAAUUACUGGGCGUAAAGCGCGUGUAGGCGGAUCUUUAAGUCGGGCGUGAAAUCCCUGGGCUCAACCCAGGAACUGCACUCGAAACUGAAGACCUUGAGUAAUGGAGAGGAAAGCGGAAUUCCUGGUGUAGAGGUGAAAUUCGUAGAUAUCAGGAGGAACACCGGUGGCGAAGGCGGCUUUCUGGACAUUUACUGACGCUGAGACGCGAAAGCGUGGGGAGCAAACAGG